rnacentral:rRNA from 1 species
CCUACGGGAGGCAGCAGUGAGGAAUAUUGGUCAAUGGACGAGAGUCUGAACCAGCCAAGUAGCGUGAAGGAUGACUGCCCUAUGGGUUGUAAACUUCUUUUAUAUGGGAAUAAAAUGUUCCACGUGUGGGAUUUUGUAUGUACCAUAUGAAUAAGGAUCGGCUAACUCCGUGCCAGCAGCCGCGGUAAUACGGAGGGUCCGAGCGUUAUCCGGAUUUAUUGGGUUUAAAGGGAGCGUAGGGGGAUUGUUAAGUCAGUUGUGAAAGUUUGGGGCUCAACCGUAAAAUUGCAGUUGAAACUGGCAGGCUUGAGUACAGGAGAGGUGGGCGGAAUGCGUGGUGUAGCGGUGAAAUGCUUAGAUAUCACGAAGAACUCCGAUUGCGAAGGCAGCUCACUGGACUGCAACUGACACUGAGGCGCGAAAGUGUGGGUGUCAAACAGGAUUAGAUACCCGAGUAGUC